GACGAACGCUGGCGGCGUGCUUAACACAUGCAAGUCGAACGGAAAGGCCCUGCGUUUGUGGGGUGCUCGAGUGGCGAACGGGUGAGUAACACGUGAGUAACCUGCCCUUGACUUUGGGAUAACUUCAGGAAACUGGGGCUAAUACCGGAUAGGAGCUCCUGCUGCAUGGUGGGGGUUGGAAAGUUUCGGCGGUUGGGGAUGGACUCGCGGCUUAUGAGCUUGUUGGUGGGGUAGUCGCAUACCAAGGGUUUGACGGGUAGCCGGCCUUAGAGGUUGACCGGCGACAUUGGGACUGAGAUACGGCGCAGAAUCCUACGGGAGGCAGCAGUGGGGAAUAUUGCACAAUGGGGGGAAGCCUGAUGCGGCAACGCUGCGUGCGGGAUGAUGGGCUUCGGGUUGUAAACCACUGUCUACUGUACCGAAGCGUGAGUGACGGUAAUGGGUAAAAAAGCACCGGCUAACUACGUG
rnacentral:rRNA from 1 species